AUGCAGUCGAGCGGUAGCACAGAGAGCUUGCUCUCGGGUGACGAGCGGCGGACGGGUGAGUAAUGUCUGGGAAACUGCCUGAUGGAGGGGGAUAACUACUGGAAACGGUAGCUAAUACCGCAUAACGUCGCAAGACCAAAGUGGGGGACCUUCGGGCCUCAUGCCAUCAGAUGUGCCCAGAUGGGAUUAGCUAGUAGGUGGGGUAACGGCUGACCUAGCCGACGAUCCCUAGCUGGUCUGAGAGGAUGACCAGCCACACUGGAACUGAGACACGGUCCAGACUCCUACGGGAGGCAGCAGUGGGGAAUAUUGCACAAUGGGCGCAAGCCUGAUGCAGCCAUGCCGCGUGUGUGAAGAAGGCCUUCGGGUUGUAAAGCACUUUCAGCGGGGAGGAAGGCGAUAAGGUUAAUAACCUUGUCGAUUGACGUUACCCGCAGAAGAAGCACCGGCUAACUCCGUGCCAGCAGCCGCGGUAAUACGGAGGGUGCAAGCGUUAAUCGGAAUUACUGGGCGUAAAGCGCACGCAGGCGGUCUGUCAAGUCGGAUGUGAAAUCCCCGGGCUCAACCUGGGAACUGCAUUCGAAACUGGCAGGCUAGAGUCUUGUAGAGGGGGGUAGAAUUCCAGGUGUAGCGGUGAAAUGCGUAGAGAUCUGGAGGAAUACCGGUGGCGAAGGCGGCCCCCUGGACAAAGACUGACGCUCAGGUGCGAAAGCGUGGGGAGCAAACAGGAUUAGAUACCCUGGUAGUCCACGCCGUAAACGAUGUCGAUUUGGAGGUUGUGCCCUUGAGGCGUGGCUUCCGGAGCUAACGCGUUAAAUCGACCGCCUGGGGAGUACGGCCGCAAGGUUAAAACUCAAAUGAAUUGACGGGGGCCCGCACAAGCGGUGGAGCAUGUGGUUUAAUUCGAUGCAACGCGAAGAACCUUACCUGGUCUUGACAUCCACAGAACUUAGCAGAGAUGCUUUGGUGCCUUCGGGAACUGUGAGACAGGUGCUGCAUGGCUGUCGUCAGC
rnacentral:rRNA from 1 species